CAAAAAAGUUAGUACACACAAAGUUCACAAGAAAAUUCUCAGUUAAUAUCGAUGAAAUUUUUCUUUCCGUUUUCAUCAAUCAAAGCAAAAUUUAUUUUGUUAUACCCGACCUGCAUUCGAAAGAAUCAUUUGUGCUGUUCUCAGGAGCGAACGACUCUAUCCGCCAGUUGGUUGAAAUAGUUGUUUAAUGGAACAACUCGAUGGAUACAACCGACAUAACGCAGCCUAGUUUUUUAAACGCCGUUCAAUCGUUUACCUUCGAGAAGAGCCGGAAGCAUCAGAGGCAGUCCUCCAUGGAUCGAACUGUGAGUAUCUUUGGAUUAUCCAAAAGACUUGCGAAUAUUACUCUCCAAUAAUCCAUUAAAGUGCCAAGGUCAAGAAGGACUUUUGUAACGAUGUCAUAGAGCAGACCCUCAGAUGGAGCGGGAGCUUCAACGAUUAUGCCUGUGAUAUCGCUUUCGCCGGACCAAUGCCUCAGAAGAUGGGCCUUGUUGUUCCCAUCACAUGCUAGAGGCCAUCCGGUGGUGAAUCGAUUAUGAAUGGGAGAAGAUCGGCAAUAAUUAUAAGAGUAGGAACUCUAUGGAAACGGAAAUAUUUGCACGGAACAGAGGAACGCGGCCGCCACCAAAGACCUCCACCCAGAGGCCCUCGAUAUCAACAGAUGACUGUGACUGAACUUAAAGAACGGCGCACAAAUAGGUUUGGUCGUAUGCUCAGGUCUAGCUCGCCGGAUGGUCGGGGUUCUUCCUCACCUAAUUGUACUAUCGUACUCCUCUACAUUUAUAUAGUGGACUUUAUGGAAAACUGUAAGUGAUUAUACAAAACAAAGUACACUGAAAUGCUGAUGGCGCCGACACGAGAAAUGAAAAGCCCUACUGAACUCGUUCUAUUUGGAGGGGACCUAGAUGUUGAUUGUCCCUCUAUUCUGUACCCACCCUACCAUGACAAUGACUUCGAGUUCCUGCAUUGUCCCUUGAUCCUGGCUCGGAUACGCGACCGACCAUUUUUAUGAUUUCAAAGAUUCAUUUCAAUUCACAUUGAUUCAUUAAUAUAAGCUUAUAUAUGGGGA